GAUACACUGUGUUGUGUGUGGAUAAAAAAUGCAUAGUGGUACCACCAAUCACCAAAGCCACCAUUCCCCUAUCAGACAAAAGGCUCAUGGGGACAGUUCCUGCAAUUUACAGCAAAGCUCACAAUUGUAGCCCUACGAACUUCAGAUACUGCCGAUGGUGAAGCUUGGGUGCACCGGGCCGGUUUUCCAGCCGUGUGGAAUCAACAUCUCCAGCUGAACUGGGGCCGGGAAUUAUAUAAGACUCCUUAGCAGCAUGAGUGCCAGCCAGUCAUUGCUGUUCUUUGCAUUGCUGAGGAGGACAGUCCUGCCAACAUAACAGUUUGUUCAAUAACAGGAGACAAACAGAAACACAGAGGUGCUAUACAUUCCGAUGGAAAAGACAACAAAAGCAUCUUCCAUCAUUUUGGCGUGGCUCAGAUCAAGAGGAGAAUUUUAAGAAAGGUAAU